UACGUAGGGGGCUAGCGUUGUCCGGAAUCAUUGGGCGUAAAGCGCGUGUAGGCGGUCCGGUAAGUCCGCUGUGAAAGUCGAGGGCUCAACCCUCGAAUGCCGGUGGAUACUGUCGGGCUAGAGUGCGGAAGAGGCGAGUGGAAUUCCUGGUGUAGCGGUGAAAUGCGCAGAUAUCGGGAAGAACACCCGUGGCGAAGGCGGCUCUCUGGGACGGUACUGACGCUGAGACGCGAAAGCGUGGGGAGCGAACAGG
rnacentral:rRNA from 1 species